GCUCUAACCGUGGUUACAUUUCAGAAUAUUUUCAAAAUCUCCUUGUUGAUUUACAGUGCAGAAUAUGUGUGAUAUAAUGCAGCUGGGUUCCUGUGGCUUCUCCAAGCCUCAGUAUCCUAAUCGUUAAAAGGGGGAUGAUAAUAUUUUCUAGAAGAUUGUUGAAAGAGCAGGUACAUUGUUGGGUCAACAAGAAAUAUGACUUUGCCUCCUAUAAAAUGCCAGAUUUUCAUUCUGAAUGUAAGUCUUGAUUUAAGGGUUGUCUUCCCUGGCUGACAUACUUGAUACUUAUAGAACUGACAGCCACAUAGGUAUUUUGGCAGAAAUACAAAAGGAGACCCAUCCCAUCUCCUCCCUGACAGUAUUUAGCUGAUGAGUUUUUGCUUCUUGCUGCCCGUAUUUCUGCUUCAGUUUCUUUCAGUUUCUCCCUGUUGCAUGGUGUAAACUGGCAUCUCAUGCGGAAAAAGAGGGUUCAGAUUACCCUAGGGAAGUGUAAUGCAGAGGAAUCUCUAUCAGCAUGAAACCAGGGUGGGCACCAACGUGAAAACCUUCGAAUCAGAGCUUCCCUUCUCUGCUACAACGCCUCUCUCUCGGAGUUGCCUGAGACGGGAGCUGGACUGCAUGGCUUGACCUAGGAGGCAUGUUCAGGCUGGAAGAGACUGAGAGGCAGAACCAGUUCCUGAUCCAGGGAUUGCACCUAAAAUGUCCUGCAUCUAGUUAUAUGUAAUGAAAUACUGGACUCUCAGAAGAGGCACAGAAUGUCAUCCUAAAUACAGAAUCCUAUGCUGCUACAUUGAAGAGGAAGAACUUCAAGGUUUACCAGAAUCAAAUUGCUUAGGCUUUUGCAGAUUGAUAAUAUGACACCUGGAAAUAAUUAUGGGGGAAGAAAAAUGAAAAGUGCCAGACAAGUCCUCCCAAAUAAAUCUACUCAACAGAUUUCCAUUCUGGACUGACAUUCUCUCUAUGGCAUUUCAAUCAAUUCCACUAAAGGAAGCCCACUUAUCUGUAUGUUAAAUGUGCUAAUUCACUGGGUGGAGUAUUGGUCAUGCCAAUACUCUUCUAGUUCCUUUAAGGUCAGGGCCUAUAAUAUACCUUGACACCUGUUCCCUAGCUCAAGAAGGACAGGGAGCCAUAAGAAAAAACAACAGUGAAGGGAAAGGAAGAAAAUAGCAUCUCCUAUUAGGUUUGCUAUAUCACACGGCCUGUAUAGAAGACCAGUGGGUCAAAGGGCAGCUGAAAAACUCACUAAUAAGGGCACAAAGGGUUUGUUUAUCUUAUAGAGUAAUUCCUGUAUAUCUUAUGUAUCUUUCACUUGUGCCAGUCAUUUACAUAGAAUACCUUUAUCUAUGAGUUAGAGUAUUCUUACUCCUCAAUGUUGGCAAACGGCAAGGUAGCUUCAGGGUAAAAGAGAGCAAAGGUAUAUCAUCUUCUGAUUCCCUAGAUUCCUAGUGGAAGCAUUUUCUUUGUUAUUCUCUGAACAAAAGAUAAAGAGGAGGCUGGACUUUCAGGUACUUGUGAAAAUGCU
rnacentral:lncRNA from 1 species